CCAUGGCGAUGCCGCUGGGCCGGUGCCGGGCGCUCUUCUGGUGCGCACGCAGCCCCGCCAGCUGGGAGUAGGCCGACUGGCACACGUGGCACUUGUAGGGCCGCUCGCCUGUGUGCAGGCGCACGUGGUUGCGCAGGGUGGACGACUGGCUGAAGCGGCGGUUGCAGAAGCGGCAGACGAAGGGCUUGUCCAGCGUGUGGAUGCGCAUGUGGGAGCGCAGGUUGCUGCGGGAGUUGAAACCGCGGUGGCAGAUGACGCAGCGCAUGCGCCCCGCCGUCAUCAUGGCGGCCGCUGCUGCCGCAGCCGCCGCCGUCGACGAGGAGGACGAGGAGGACGAGGACGAGGAGCCGUCGCAGGAGUGGAACUCGUCUGGACCAAUCAGAAACAAGAGUUCAACGUUUGUGUGGAUGUAUGGUGUGCUUGCUGUUAUGGUCUCACCAGUCUUGCUCUUCUUGCUCUGCUCCUCCUCUACUCCUGGGACACCCGGUAUUCCAAGGAAGGUGUUCUGGGAGUUUCCGUACCACACCAGAAGCUCCUGGUCUGGUGGAAUGGUCUGGAAGGAGAGAGUGAGAGAGCAUGAUUCCCAGGGACGAUCACGACGUGGAUGGACUGCUUUAGCUCUAAACUCUUGUAGUCACUAACGUACGUUUGAUCCAGUGCAACAAGGUGUAAUGAAGGUAAUAGUGAUUGUGGCCGUGGUACGGUGCGGUGCAGGAGGACUGACCUCCACAGCCUUGUAGAAGAUGCUGCUGCCGAUCUGCACCACCUCUAGGUUCUGCUCCUGCUCGUUGCGGGCGCACUUGAUGUAGGUCAUCCAGCUCCUCUGGUCCUCCUGGCUGGCGUCGAUGAAGUAGCGCACGCUGCCGUCCUCGUUGAACACCUGCUGGACAGACAGACUCGUCAGUCCACAUGUUCCGGAGAGAUGAGGCGGCCUGUGAACGGACCCAUCUCGGUCCCAGCCUUGAUCCAGGUCUUGGAGAAGAUCCCCAGGCCUUCGCCUAAACACCAAGCACACCCUCCAUGAUCACCGGGAAACCCAACAAGGGCCACAACAGAACAGAACUGUACCAUACGAAAACCAGCUCCCCGUGAAAAGUUAGAGCUUAAUUACCUGGAACUGAACUCUGGGCGAUUAUCACUUCAGUUGGAAGAACAAGGCUGGACAACUUCUGCACUUCUGAAAGAAGACCAGCAGAGGGUUACCAAAAUGAUCACAUCUAUGAGGAUGACAUUGUAACAAGCAGAAUUAACGAACCUUUUAGUUUUGUGUUUCAAAUCUAAAUGCAAAUUGGUUUGUGUUGUUCUGAAGAGAUUUAAGACAUUUUUACCGUUGGAGAGUUUGUAGGCAUAUUUUAAAAGGACUCAGACACCUACUAUUACUUUACAUUCCGCAACAAAAAAUGCGUACUUCUGUUUUAAUUCAAACCUAUUCUGUGAAUAUUUUCAUUUAGAUGUUGAUACUUUCCGACAAAGGGUUGCAAACAAUAGUCCAAAGAAAACGACUCAACUCUGACUCGAUUAUACACAAUAGGCCUAAUUUGGCUGCUUAUACUUUAAUCUGUUGUGAUUUUAAUGGAGGACUAAUUUUUUUUAACACUUCGACAAAAAUAAACUUUUUCUGAAUUUUAGGUCGUAUUUUCUUACUUUAACCAGAGGAUAAGUUGGGUGCUAUUUCAGACGCUGGAAUGCAUGUAAGAUCUUCGGCACUAUAGCGGUUUUCAAGGGACAAUUUUGUGUAAAGGAAAACCCUUUGUCCGCCACAUCUGAUGAAUAUCGCCAUGAAAAUGUUCUUUCAGCGUGUCUGA